rnacentral:lncRNA from 1 species
CGAGACUCGGAGAGUGAUAGAGAAGCUAGCCCGUUUUGUGGCAGAAGGAGGCCCCGAGCUAGAGAAAGUAGCUAUGGAGGACUACAAGGAUAACCCAGCCUUCACGUUUUUACAUGAUAAGAAUAGCAGGGAAUUCCUAUACUACAGAAAGAAGGUAGCCGAGAUCAGGAAAGAAGCCCAAAAGCCACAGGCAGCCACCCAGAAAGGUAAGUGGUCAGAGGAAGGCAGGGAACACUGUGGUAUGUGGGCAGCUAAAACCUAAGCCCUCAUGGGCAGUGAGAAUUUCCCUGUGGGUACACCAGUAUACUUGCAGCUCCCCCAGAGCCCAGCUGUAUUCUGAGCAUCAGGCUUGGCUCUAAGGUGUAGGGUUGUGGCAUGUCAGGGACCCCAUGGGGAUAGG